CUUUCUCUUAAUUUUACAAGUGAAGGAAGCAUCUGGUGCGGAGCCCAGAACUAGCACGUGAGGGAGUAAGGAGUCGGAAUUCAGAACUGUGAGGCCCUUCGAUGACACGGUUUCUUGGAGAGUGACUCCUAGUGCAAUGCCACCGGGUUGCUGACCUCGGUGCAUGUCAAUCAUUUUCCCUUCGAAAUCCAGACUUGUUGAAAACAGGAAGAAUGUCUUUAUGGCCAUACAGCAAGCA
rnacentral:lncRNA from 1 species